rnacentral:rRNA from 1 species
AACGAACGCUGGCGGCAUGCCUAACACAUGCAAGUCGAACGAGACCUUCGGGUCUAGUGGCGCACGGGUGCGUAACGCGUGGGAACCUGCCCUUAGGUUCGGAAUAACUCCCCGAAAGGGGUGCUAAUACCGGAUAAUGUCUUCGGACCAAAGAUUUAUCGCCUUUGGAUGGGCCCGCGUUGGAUUAGCUAGUUGGUAGGGUAAAAGCCUACCAAGGCGACGAUCCAUAGCUGGUCUGAGAGGAUGAUCAGCCACACUGGGACUGAGACACGGCCCAGACUCCUCCGGGAGGAAGAAGGGGGGAAUAUUGGACAAGGGGAGAAAGCCUGAUCCAGCAAUGCCGCGGGAGUGAUGAGGGCCGUAGGGUUGUAAAGCUCUUUGCCCCGGGAUGAUAAGGACAGUGCGGGGAGAAUAAGCUCCGGCUAACGCC